rnacentral:rRNA from 1 species
UACGAAGGUCCCAAGCGUUGUUCGGAAUCACUGGGCGUAAAGGGAGCGUAGGCGGCGUGGUAAGUCAGAUGUGAAAUCCCGGGGCUCAACCCCGGAACUGCAUCCGAUACUGCCAUGCUAGAGGAUUGGAGAGGAGAUUGGAAUUUACGGUGUAGCAGUGAAAUGCGUAGAUAUCGUAAGGAAGACCAGUGGCGAAGGCGAAUCUCUGGACAGUUACUGACACUGAGGCACGAAGGCCAGGGGAGCAAACGGG